AUUGUAAAUUUAAUAAUUUCUUAAAAUAAAUCCAAGUGCACAAAUGGCAAAAUGUGGAUUGCAUUUAAUAUUUUCCACAAAGAUAAAAAUGAAAACAAAAAAAUAAAAUAUGAUAUCAUAGUCAACUUUUGAGAAAAUUUAAAAUCGGUUAUCUAACCGGGUUGUCGAAGGUAAGAACAUAGGAUAAUGGACAGAGAAAGAACCGGAGGCAGAGCACUAAAGAAGCUGUUACCCAUAAUAGUAUAAUAGGCAAGAAUUCUUAGCGUAGCUAUGUGUUCGGGCUUGCCUAACUGUAUUAAAAUUAAACAAAAAUUCUUUACGUGCUUACCCAAAGCUUUAGACGGUUUACACAAAACAUUUGACCAAAUUUAUGUAUUCUUCAAAUAUGUAAUUGAAAUAAAAAGUUAUAAGAUGGUCAACCUAACAAAGAGAACAAGGUUGAAAAAAUUAAAAAUUAUUUUUUUGUGGUUUUUUUU
rnacentral:lncRNA from 1 species